rnacentral:rRNA from 1 species
ACGUGGAUAACCUACCUAUAAGACUGGGAUAACUUCGGGAAACCGGAGCUAAUACCGGAUAACAUAUUGAACCGCAUGGUUCAAUAGUGAAAGGCGGCUUUGCUGUCACUUAUAGAUGGAUCCGCGCCGUAUUAGCUAGUUGGUAAGGUAACGGCUUACCAAGGCAACGAUACGUAGCCGACCUGAGAGGGUGAUCGGCCACACUGGAACUGAGACACGGUCCAGACUCCUACGGGAGGCAGCAGUAGGGAAUCUUCCGCAAUGGGCGAAAGCCUGACGGAGCAACGCCGCGUGAGUGAUGAAGGUCUUCGGAUCGUAAAACUCUGUUAUCAGGGAAGAACAAAUGUGUAAGUAACUGUGCACAUCUUGACGGUACCUGAUCAGAAAGCCACGGCUAACUACGUGCCAGCAGCCGCGGUAAUACGUAGGUGGCAAGCGUUAUCCGGAAUUAUUGGGCGUAAAGCGCGCGUAGGCGGUUUUUUAAGUCUGAUGUGAAAGCCCACGGCUCAACCGUGGAGGGUCAUUGGAAACUGGAAAACUUGAGUGCAGAAGAGGAAAGUGGAAUUCCAUGUGUAGCGGUGAAAUGCGCAGAGAUAUGGAGGAACACCAGUGGCGAAGGCGACUUUCUGGUCUGUAACUGACGCUGAUGUGCGAAAGCGUGGGG